UAAAACUGAAUUUUUUUCCAAUCUCCAUCGUUCUUCCACCCUUUUCCUUCCCGAUUUUCACGAUUCUCCCUGAGUUUACUCUCAAAUUGACAGCUUCCUUCCUGAUUUUUCUCUCAAAUGGACAACCUCCUCUCUGAUCUUUCUCUCAAAUUGAUCAUCUCCUUUUUCUCAUCAUCUCCCAGCCUAUCUCGCCUCUGAUCAUCUCCCAGCCUAUCUCGCCUCUGAUCAUCUCCCUUUCUUCAUCAUCAUCCUCAUUCCUCACCAUCUCCUUCUAACAACAUCUCCAGCUCAGAUUUCGAUUCGGCGUAAGUCACGGCGUCAAACGAAUCGAUGUCAUCAACAUGCUCGUCGUCCACAUCGCGUCAGAAUUUUCCAGAUCUAAGAAGUUAACGGCGGCUGGUGAGUCAACAGAGGAGUUGAAAUGCUCGCUGCCACUGCUCUCGCAAAUCUGAGUCGUUGUUUUCCAGUUCAUAACCAGUGAAGGUUCAAGAUCAACGAUUGAUCGAUCUAGAUCGAUCAAAUUGGUCUGAUUUCGUACAUGGAAAGAUAACGAUUUCGAGUUCAAUUCAAAUUCGGCAAAUCGAAUUAAAAUCAAUCGGGGACAGUUUUGUCCGGAUUCGAAUUUGGUUUUAAAAUCGAGCAACCGGAUUCGACCGAAUUACUGAGUCCUAAGUCUAAAUAAUGCAAAGUGUAGUUAACUCUUGUCUCCUUGUUUUUUACCUUCCAAUUCUUCAAUUGUAAUAUAAUGGGCAUCGAAAGAGGCAUAAACAUAAUGUAAUAGACUUAGAAAGGAGAUAUAUAUAAAUUGCACAUUAUCUGGUGACAUAAUACACGUACAAUUACAAAAAGAAAAUAAUAACUGUAUACUCUAAGUGACAUAAUGAUGAUGUAAUUUAAAUCACUUAUAAUAUGAACAUUACAGUAACACAAUUUACAUAUAAAUGAAAUUUAAUUGUGAAUAACAGACUCAUAAAAUGGACAUAACAAUAAAUUACAAACCUAAAAGAUGCAUAACAAAUUCAUAACGUAGACAUAACAGAGCCAUAAAAGACUCACAACAAUAAUGCUAUUAUAACGUAGGCUAUAGGCAUAAGGAAAACUCUUUGGUAUACCUGAUGCACGAGGAUUGCCGCUUAUUUAAACUGAUCGAAGCCACUUGUUAUGAAAGAAAAUUAGGGUCAUCCGUAAUUAUUAGAUUUGAAAUUUAAAAUAAAAAAAAACAAAUAACAUAACAAUCACUCUACUUAAUUCCAACAAAGAUCAGUGUUUUAUAUUAUAAUUUCAAGGU
rnacentral:lncRNA from 1 species